AGAGUUUGAUCAUGGCUCAGAACGAACGCUGGCGGCAGGCCUAACACAUGCAAGUCGAACGCUGUAGCAAUACAGAGUGGCAGACGGGUGAGUAACGCGUGGGAACGUGCCCUUUCGGUUCGGAAUAACUCAGGGAAACUUGAGCUAAUACCGGGUACGUGCGAGAGCAGAAAGAUUUAUCGCCGAAGGAUCGGCCCGCGUCCGAUUAGCUAGUUGGUGAGGUAACGGCUCACCAAGGCGACGAUCGGUAGCUGGUCUGAGAGGAUGAUCAGCCACACUGGGACUGAGACACGGCCCAGACUCCUACGGGAGGCAGCAGUGGGGAAUAUUGGACAAUGGGCGCAAGCCUGAUCCAGCCAUGCCGCGUGAGUGAUGAAGGCCCUAGGGUUGUAAAGCUCUUUCGCCAGGGACGAUAAUGACGGUACCUGGAUAAGAAGCCCCGGCUAACUUCGUGCCAGCAGCCGCGGUAAUACGAAGGGGGCUAGCGUUGUUCGGAAUCACUGGGCGUAAAGCGCACGUAGGCGGAUCUUUAAGUCAGGGGUGAAAUCCCGAGGCUCAACCUCGGAACUGCCUUUGAUACUGGAGGUCUCGAGUCCGGGAGAGGUGAGUGGAACUGCGAGUGUAGAGGUGAAAUUCGUAGAUAUUCGCAAGAACACCAGUGGCGAAGGCGGCUCACUGGCCCGGUACUGGCGCUGAGGUGCGAAAGCGUGGGGAGCGAACAGGAUUAGAUACCCUGGUAGUCCACGCCGUAAACGAUGGAUGCUAGCCGUUGGGGAGCUUGCUCUUCAGUGGCGCAGCUAACGCUUUAAGCAUCCCGCCUGGGGAGUACGGUCGCAAGAUUAAAACUCAAAUGAAUUGACGG
rnacentral:rRNA from 1 species